CAGUCUCAGAAGACCUUACAACUAAUUUUAUUUGGUCUGUCUCAUCCUGACAUUAAAUCAUCUGGCAUUUUCAGUUCCACAGACAUUCCAGUUGGCUUUUGAGUGGAUAAUUGUUGCAGUGAGAGCACUGACGUUGGAAACAACUAGUGCUGUGUGAAUUACCUAAACACCAUCAUGAAAAGAAAUACAUGUGAUUUGCUUUCUCGGAGCAAAAGUGCCUCUGAGGAAACAUUGCAUUCCAGUAAUGAAGAGGAAGACCCUUUCCGAGGAAUGGAACCCUAUCUUGUAAGGAGACUUUCAUGCCGCAACAUUCAGCUUCCUCCUCUUGCCUUCAGACAGUUGGAACAAGCUGACUUGAAAAGUGAAUCAGAGAAUAUUCCACGGCCAACCAGCCUCCCCCUGAAGAUUCUGCCCUUGAUUGCUAUCACUUCUGCAGACUCCAGUGGGUGAGUGCCCUUGGGUGACAUUUCUCCAUUUUACAUUUUGUAUGGUGAUUGUUAUCUGUGGUCUUUUAAAUUUUUGUGGCUCAUUGCUUGAUUUCAGUGGGAGGACAAUGAUGUUUUUAGAGUAAAAAAAAGGAAACUUUUUCUCAGGUAAUGUCUUUAUCUCUGUAAGAUGAGUCAUUUUUAGUCAAAUUGUUUUACAAGAAGGCAUUGAAAAUGUAUUGAUGAAUCCUAAUAAGCAUCCAGGAAAAGGGAAAUUAAUACUGGCCAUUUGUGAGUUUAAAAAAGAUUCUUAACAAAUGAUAACUAAUGGACAAAUUACCA